ACAGCUGCCGCAGGGUUGGCGGACUCGGAAAGGAGCGAAGAUGGCGGAGUGAGGCGUGUCGCUGCGAGCCGGCCGUUGGGCCGGGGGCGACAAGGCCCCCGGAGUGUCCAGUGCGACUGCUAGUCGGUGCGAGGAAGAACAUUUUCUUUGGCUUCCAGGUGCUUUUAUAUUCAUCUUAAGAAGAAAGCAAAAAUCUGAACUCAGGAUUUGGCAAGUGAGUAAUAGGGGCUGAUGCUUCCAGAUAUUGUUCAAGCAGCUCGGAAAAUUACUAGAUGUAUUCUGUCUUGUCUCCUGGAGUAGGUAGUCCUUUUAUCCAGCCACUUGCCCUAUUCUUGAAAUGUGGAUAUCUCUUCUCUACAUGUUUUACCUCCAUGGUUUGGAUUGGAAAAGGCUGCUUUUUUUUUGUUGUUCCUUUUCUCAGAUUCAACAUUGAGAGGCUCCUAGGAUGCAGUUGUCUUGCCAAGUUCUCCAGAAAGAAAGAAGCAACUGACAUACAUGUUCUGCUUUUUGCUUAAUUACAAAGAAAUUAUUUUGGAAGCUGAAACUGAUGCUUAAUUUGAAGCAGGUGCUUAGAUGCUGGUGUAUGUUAAUAUUUUACCUUUUGUUCCAAACAAGAAGACUAAAUACAGAGCAAGUAUGGAUGAUUUCAGGGGUUUUUUGUUGUUGGUUGGGUUUUUUGUUGUUUUUUUUAAUGUCUUCCAUUUUCGGUCUCUGUCAUAAGCACAGUCAAAUCUGCAAGGAGUAAAUUCCAAAUAUGUGUUCUAAUAUGAAAUGAGAGAUGCUUAAAAACUACAAAUAUUAAAUAUCUAAAUCGUGACUCAUCCUUUGAAGUACAUUUGCUGGAAAAGAACAAAAGCCCAAUUUUGCAAUAAAACCUUUGAUAAAGAAGCAUAAAGACAAAAUGAUUCAAGGUUAACAGAGUCUGUCAAAUAUACGUUUACAUGUGCAAAUCUACAUUUUGGAUGAGAAGAGGGAUUUUUCUCCUAGAGAAGGAAGCUGUUGCUGGUUUCUGUCUGAGAAGUCUUUGGACAUUUUGUAUUUUUAAAUGAUUUUUCACUUUUCUAAGGAAGGACCAUAUUGUACAUUUGCUAACCGUGUGAAUGCAUGGUUGAGUCUACUGAAAAUUCGGAAAAGGAAACAAAACCGCUUCAAGUCCAGUGAUGGAACCCUGUUCACCUCCCUCAGAUGAGAGGCUCCUAUAUUGCAAAUUACUCCAUUCUUUUUUGUGGAUUCUUACAUAGCACUUGAGACAUGGAAACAUGCUGCUAAGCAGGAACAAGUGUGGCUUAAGUGGUUUUUCUGUUCAGAAAAUAUGGUGGAUUCUCUGGCAUGACCUGCCUUCAACUUUGGGCAUGGAGGAAUGGGGAACAAAAACAUGUCCAGAGAAUUCCUUUCUCCUGAGAAAAAAGAAGCAAAAAUGCUUUAUGCAGCUCCAUCUGACUUUAUGGCAUCUUACAUUCUGUAGCUCCUGUUUUCUAAAAACAUAAAUAACUUUGUUCCUUUGACCCAAGAUGGGUACUCAGAUGUUUGGUUUAUUUUUUUAGGUGAGAUGUAAUGUUAGGCUGUAAAGACUGGGACUCAGGUAAUAUUCCCCAGUUGGAACUGAACUUACUCAUCAGAGAAUGGACUUCAGUAGCAAUGUUCCCAAAUUCGUGUUUGAUUUAGAAGAAAUUCAGGGUCUGGAAAACACCUCAAACAAGAAAAGUAGUUCAGUAAAUAUACGGAUCUUCCUCUUUGUAAAGCUUACACCAUGUGAUGAACAGACUGUAAUGUAAAGCUAUUCUUGCUUCCAAAUCAGCAGAGGACCACUGUAUGAAUUGUCAGCUCUUUACAUAAGAAGAAAACGGAGUCUUUGUGAGAAAAAAUUUGAAACUUCUUAGAUGCAAUUAAGAACAAAUUGCCUUAGGUCAUAAUCUGUGAUUUAGGGAAUUUGCCUAGGGUUACUCAUGCUGUGAUACUAAAAACUUAGGGCAAAUUUACCCUAAAAAAUUUAGCAGUGACAGAAAUGCCCCAAAGUGCUAAUUAUUGAGUACUUUUAGUGAUUAGUUAAAUUGGUCAACCUAUAUGAAUUGGCAUAAGAAAGCUUUUUAGUAAAAAUAAUUACAUAAUAUAGAUAUAAUUUCCUUUGAGGGCAAAUACUGAGUGGUACAGCAUAGAAAUAACUUUGGAUAAAGGUAACUUUUCUCUAAGUAACUUCUCAGUCAACUUCUUGAUAUUUGCUUUGACUAUUUUGGAGUUCUUAAAGACAGAAAGGAACCUCCAUACAUGAGUCCCAUUGGUAUGUUGAGAAUUUAUAUCUUUAGUUUUCUGUUAUCCAUCUUCCCCAUGUCCUUUUUGCAGUGUUUUGGGUAAGAUCAUUUGGCAGGGGAUAGGGACUUUAUACUGUCCGCUCCAGUGAAACUAUCUCUGUUCCAUUUGUUUGAGUAUAUAUCAGACUCCUCUUCUCCAGUUGCUUUGUAUUUUUUAUUUCACAGCUAAAACCACUGUUAAAUGCUCUCAUUCAAGUUGUUCGUUGCAUCUUUAGUGUUGUCACCAGAAAGCAUCUAACAAAAUGGGUCUAUGCCAGUUGUACUAGCCCAGUGUUUACUUAAUAUUCCUACAUUUUCCCCUUGGGCUAUUUUGUUCCCUUCUUGAUGGGAAAAGCUGUAAUUGUAGGCAGGACUACACCUUGAUCAGUAGCUGUGCCUACUUACUUCCCUUUCUUCAUCCAUGUCAGCUGGCAGUUUUUCUUUUAAAAAGUUAAAAACGGGAUAUGUGCAAUAGAAAUAUAUAUAUAUAUGUAUAUUUUAAUACUUGUGGACAAAUGUUACAAGUUGUUUAAGAACAACAAAAUCACCAAUGUCUUCCAUUUUGAGAUGUGUAUAGUUUUGUAAGCAUUAGUGCUUGGUAGCAUAUUGUAGUGCCAUGUUAGGGGUUAGUGCAUGAGCCUAGUAAUAAUUUAAACUCCAGGAUGAAUUAUUGAUAAUAACCAGUAGUGUAAAAUGAGUGGAAAAUCGAGACUUUUCUUUUUUCAUAAAUAUCAGAAUCAUGAUAUUCUCCCUGGGGAAAGGAGAUUAAGGCCAAAAAGACUCAUUUAUGAAUAGAACUGUGGGAUCACAGUGUAAAAUACCAUGUCUGAGGAGAGUGAAGCUUUCUCUGAGGUAGCUGGAAACCAGUUGCCUUCGUGUCUUAUGAAACCUCAUAUCAAAAUGAGGCCCCAUUUCAUGAUUCUGCUUUGUUCUCUUAGUUUGAGAGGAGAUUGUUCUUACGCUGUUUUCACAUGGUGUGUCUUGUAAAUUUAUUUUUUAAUCCACUCCUUUUGCAUCAAGGAAUUAUUUUUUAUUUUGCAUGUGUUACUGAGAUGCUGUGUUAGUCAUGUACUUUUCUAACCUGCAGACCAUUUACAUUUCCUGUCUGCAGCAUGCUAAUUGUUCUGGAAGAACGCUGGUCAGUAGUUCAGUGUCCUACAUUAAUUUGUCACAGGCUUUUCCUGUUUCACAACCUGAAUUGUGUGUUGAUGGGACUCUAGACCUUCUCAUAAGAAUUGGAAUGUAGCUAGAUGGAGCCUGAGCAGGUUGUCAUGUAAUAACUGUCUCUCUUGCUUGGUUAUAGUAAGCCACCUCAGACAGCCUUCACUUUUUCCUGCUUGUAAAAAUAAAAGUUGUUUUGUCCCGAAAGCGUAAGGUCGCUUUCUGUGGAAAAGAAAUUCCUACCUCUAAAAGCUGCAUUGAGAACUUGGAAAGAGCAGUUUUCUGAGGUGAUUUUUAAAUCUCAGUAUUACGAGAGUUCAGGAUUUAUUGACACAGAUUCUGUGGUUACCAUGAUGAGACACAAAACUAAUGUGUCUCCAGUACACAAGUAGCUCAAGCAAGUAGACUCUGCAGCAGCGGAUAUCCAGGGACCCCGGUUUAGAUCAGAGUGUACUUAAAGUAGUUGUACUCUUGGCUCUAGUAGUUCAGCGCCUGGGAGAAUCCAUUUCCAAAAAAGCAUUUAAAUAUUUUGAAAAAUACCUCUGAAAAGAUAAUGAAUGCAAAAUAGCACAGUAUAUAGGAAAGGAUAUUUCCUAUUGCAAAAAAAUAAAAAAUAAAAGCCAUAAAACGAAUAAUGAUUUUCAAGAGGUAGAAUCUUAGUAGCAAUAACAGUUUUGCAUGUAUAGCAAAUUGUAUUAGCAAUGUUGUACAAUAGAAAUAAAUAUUACUACUUGAGUUGGUGAAGCUCUGUGACCAGCAGAGUUGCACCAAAGGAAGAUGUUUUAGGCAAAGAACAUAUAAAAGGUACUUUAAAAACUGAAUGUAUAUGAAUAUAUCAUUGUGUGAGAAAUAGCAACUUCUGUUUAAGUUAAAGGUUAGAGACCCUAUUUGUUUCCUAAAGCAGAGGGUUAGAGCCAUUGAAGGAAAUUUUUCUAGUGGUUAAUUAACCUGGAAACAAAUGUACUCCUACUGAUGUAGCCCCAUGGAUGCCAUCGAGUGGGGAUUUUGCUUAUGAUGUACUUUUCAGCAACAGGCGUUUAUAGAAGAGCCUACUUUGGGCUCUGUCACCUUUUCUUUUCUCCUUUAGUUCUCUGGGUGCGUUUUAAGAAUGGAAAAGUUUGGGGGUGGUGUGUGUGUUUGGGUUAAAAACAAACCAAGAACUUGGAUAGCUGGCUUUUCCUUGUAUGCCUGUGGUUAGUUUAGGGGAGUUAGAAUUUAAAGAUGUAAAGCAAAGGAUUGAACGAAACAGCCAAAGACAGCAUGUUGGUUUUAUAAACCUUGUCUGAUAUACAUGUGCUGAGGAUUUUGGUCUGUGACUCUUUAUUUUAAUAAGAGCCCAGCAAACUAGUGUUUUGAUACAAGGAACCUCACACCUCCCAUCAGGAUAUAGUAAAAUGGAAGCUGACUUCUUACUCCCUUUUACCUUGUGUUCAUUUUGGCCAUUUAGCACCUUGAAGGUGCCUGAAAAGAUUAGGUCUGUGUUCUCUUGUUUCCCCAGGGGAAAAAACUAAAAGGAGAAUGAAUUUUAAAAAAUAGUGCCUCUUGAAUAUUUAAUUCUUCUAUGGCAACUCCAGAGGAUAGGGAGAAGGCUAUUAUAUUAAAUUGAUUAUAGCUCCUCUUUAAAUGUCCUACGCCAUCAGUUGGUGUUAGAGACAUUGGAAUAACCAAGCAAUAUUCAGUCAUCUGCACGAUCAUGAGGACACCGCUGUGUAUUAUAGUGAUGUCAACAAUUUAGUUACUUAAAACAAAGACUACCCUUAACAGCCACGUUAAUAGUUGUAAAUGCUAAAAUGUGCUACAAGUUUUUGUAGUCUCUAUGUGGUUAUUACUUUUCAAUGUUGUUGUAGUCUGAUGUUUACUCUUUUGUGUACCUGUGAUAUGCAAAAUAUGAAGAGACCCUUGGCCUCCAGGAGUUUACAUUCUCAUGGUGCUGCUGGUGCAAGCAAAUUGCUUCUAGUUUAUUCAGAACAUUGCUUGGCUGUUAACCAUACCCUAUUUGGAAGAAUCCCUUGGCCAAUAGUUUUCAAAGCAGGAGUCCAUGCUAAAUUUCAGGGCAUUGAUUUUGAGUUUACAUAUAUCAGCUCUGCUGUUCAUAAACUCCUUUUCCCCAGGGGCUGUGCAGAUAAAGUUCAUUAAUGUGAAUCAGAAAUCAUUCUGCGUAAGAGCAUCUUCACCAUCUUUACACAACCUAUGCUCUUCUAUGCUCUAGCUGUCAAUAAAUGGCCAAGAAAACUUACUGCUCCAAAAGACUGUACAUCUCUCAAUUCUCUUUCUUUUCCCAGAGUUUUUACAUCAUUCUCUACCCAAAAGGGCCAGCAUUUGCAGUUAAGCCUUUUGUAAUUAAGUAGUGGUCCUCAUUUUAACCUUUGUGCAUGACUGUAACUCUAUUCUGAAGCAGCAUUGUGAUGUGGAACAUCUGCCCUGCCUGCAUUUCUAAGCAAUCACUUUCUUAACCCACAUUUUCAGUUGAAACGUGCAUGAAUCCUUGUUAUUGCCCCUAAUUCCUCGGAAUCAGGGGGUCUUUUCUGCAUGUUUAUUAAAACUGGGUCUGAACAAAAGUGCAAGCAAUAGUGGCAGGCCCAGAACUCCGAUUUUAGAGUACUGUUCUUCUAAUGCAUGGUUGAAAAUGUCCAGUGUUAUGUGGUGACUAGUAGAUAUAUUUAUGCAUUUAUUAAUGAAGCAAUAGAGACUUAAACCAAUAGUCUGAAUUUACUGUUUGGAUUAUUUUCAUUUUCUAAUUAAAGAUUAUCUUAACUUCCAUUGAAAAUGGAAGCUAGAAGAUAAACAGGGGCAACCACAAGACAUUCAAACUGUCAGGAAUAGAGAGCAUGACAGUGCUCACCCUCUAACCUCUUGCCUGGUUCCCUUAUUCCCCAAGCAUGUUUAAAAGCAAAACAAAGGCACAAACUAAGCAUGUUAAAUAAAUAAGCUGCUAUGGCUAUAUUAAUCAGAAAGGUGCAGAGUUUCAGAAAGAGUACGAGAGUAGGGAAUUAGCAGUGUAGAAUAUAUAAAAUAACGAAGUAUGGGCUUUGUCUGAUAAAAUUUAUGUGUCUUAUGUUUGGAUCUCUUAAAACUCAUAUCUUGGAAGUGAAUGGAAGCAAUACACACGUAUUUCAGAUGUUCCAGGAUUUUCGGAUAACCAGCCAACUCUUCGGGAUGCUGCUGGUACCAACCAGCCUGGCCAUGAAGGUUCCCUGCAGCAAAGGAGACUACUCCAUUGUGUGGAAACAGUGCUAAAAAUACCAACAAAUCUUUGGUUUGGGUUUCCUUUUGUUACUGUAUUAUGGAAAUGUUUUGUUUUUUAAAUUUUAUAGCCAGAGGUUUAUCCAUGAUAUUUUUGCUCAAGACUGCAUAAUUUGUUGCCUAAUGCUUCUGAUGCCAGGUAAACUGCGGGUUUUUCCACUUUUGAAAAAAGGAAAAACCUUGCCAUUUAUUUCCUUACUUGAUGAAGAAAAUAGAUAAAUUAUUGUGAUAGCUUAAGAUUUUUUAUUAGAUUCCUGACUUUGAAAAUAACCCUGUUAAGUGUAAAUGAUCAUGACAAAUAAUAUACAAAUGGAAUUCUUAGCUGAAUGGCAUAAACAGAAGAUAAUUCAGAGUUAGAUCAGAGGAUUCAUGCUAGGCCCCUCCCAGGUUUAAUGUUCUGUGAUUGAAAAAUAAUUUUUCUUAAGCCAUUUUAACCUGUUCUCUUUGCUGUGGGAUUUCACUCCAAAUGCCUUUGGGAAUAUUGAAGUGUAAGUGGUAACUUUCUAGUAGUUCAGAACUGAAUUAGACUUAAACGGUCAUUGCAGUGUUUAGUGUCCACUUAAGUAUAGGCUGUGAGAUAAUUAUUUCCCAUUUGUAAAUUUGCUUCUUGUCACUUACUGAUUACAUCUGCCAACCAACAAAACCAGUAAAGAUAUAGGGAGGAGUUUCUCUCAACUCUGUGCCCAUUAUUCCACAAAAGCAUAUAGUUAAAAAAAACAAACAUCACAGAUUUCUCUAGGAACUUUUAUGCCUAAACCUCCUUUAAAAUCAAAAUAGAUAUCGUAAAGUUACUGACAAUUCCGAAGGUUUUUUUUUCUCCCUUGCUGAUUGUAUGCCGUGCCAUCAGUUUUCCUCCCAGAGAUAAGAAUGGUAUUCUGGCAAUACAUUAUGGUCAGUCCUUAAAUAACAGUAAGAGUCUUGGCACUUACCUUAAAAUGACCUGUCACUUACAGAGUCCUACUAUAUUACAGUAUCAUUCACAUACUUUUAUUUAGCAUCUUCCAAGUACAGUUGCUCACUAUUUCUACUUGCUGUUCUAUAUUUUCUUCAUUACACCAUUGGUAUACAAUGUUAAAAAGAAUUUCACUGAAUGUUUAUAAAGUAUUACAAAAGGCAGCUUUUUAAUCUAUGCAUCCUUGGGAUUACAGAAAUUAUAUUCUUUGAUGUAAAAGGGAACUGCUAUACGAGUUGGAAACUCUGCACCUAUGUGUGUGCGCGUGUGUGUGUGUGUAUAUAUUGGCAAUAAAGCAGCAUGGGCUGAGAAUGCACUGAAA